rnacentral:rRNA from 1 species
GUGUGUCCGUCGUCGACGUACGUCUAGAGUAGUUUGAUCGAUGGCUCGAGGACGACGCUGGCGGUGUGCUUCACACAUGCAAGUCGAACGAGGUAGCAAUACCUAGUGGCGGACGGGUGAGUAACGCGUGGGAAUCUGCCUUUAGAUGGGGGAUAACGGGUCGAAAGACUCGCUAAUACCGCAUAUGACGAAAGUUGAAAGGAGUAAUCCGUCUAAAGAUGAGCCCGCGUCCGAUUAGCUAGUUGGUAGAGUAAAAGCCUACCAAGGCGACGAUCGGUAGCUGGUCUGAGAGGAUGAUCAGCCACAAUGGGACUGAGACACGGCCCAUACUCCUACGGGAGGCAGCAGUGGGGAAUUUUACGCAAUUGGCGAAAGCCUGACGUAGCGACACCGCGUGAGCGAAGAAGCCCCUUGGGGUGUAAAGCUCUGUCAGCUGGAACGAAAAAAAUGACGGUACCAGCAGAGGAAGCAUCGGCUAACUACGUG